rnacentral:lncRNA from 1 species
AGCGCCAUCUUGUGACGGCGAAUGUGGGGGCGGCUCCCAACAGUCACCCAUCCAUUAGUGGCUCAUGUGUUCUUAAGACAAACUCAGCAGGCUGUACCUGUCCAGAGUGAAACCAGAGCUUCUGCCUGCAUGGAACAAGAGCAAGAGAAAGAGUUCACUGAAGGACAGCCUUGCAGAACAUGGGGAGAAUCAUCAGGCAGGUGACUCCAGGCCUGUGCACACAGGAGGCCGAGGAGACUGACCUGCUUAUCCAUGCUACUUAUCAGGAACUGUGGAACCAUGGAGAACAUGACCCUGGCCCUCCCUUCAGGAUCUGCCUGAGAUCUGGCUGCCUCUUGAGACACUAGAGCCCUGGAUUCAAUUGCGGAACAUUAUGUUGGAGAAUAUAAACACUUCUAGACUGUGCCGGCAUUUGGGAAGGAAUAGUCUGUUUUGACUUGAAUGAACAAAGACAUACGUCUCUGGGCCUGGGGAAGGCUUACCAGCUCAGCUCAUCUACUGUCUGGUGGCAAACAUGUCCUGGGUACUGCCACUACCCAGGACACUCUUCCUCACUCUGUCCCUGUCCAGUUACCGCACCCUUCCCUGUCUGACCCCGCCUCCUGUGCCCACUCGCCUCUGGACCCAGAGAUUCUUCUUGUUUGCUCUAUCAUCCUUGAGCCGGAUACAGGGUGAAUAGUUAACCACACUUGGGUUGAAUGGGAUCUUGAUUCUUAUUUCUGUUCCUUGGAAAGAGGGGUCAGACUCGGUGCGUGGCACCCGGCCUGGAAGCAGCACAAGACUCCAGAGUGAUACAUGAUCUGCCUGGAUGGUCCCAGGGGCUCUUUGGAGGUCAGAGCAAGAGGAGCAGCCUGAGCAGGGGGGCUGAGGAGGGCCGGCACUGGAUCACACGCAGGCGUAUGUCUGGAUAGGCAGAGAGGAACCCACUUUUCAUUCCCUCUUCUGUGACACAAAUGCAAGGAACUUUGAAGACACUCUUCGGAGGUUGCAAUCGGAGAUCAGCUUAUCCAAGGGCUUCAUGUCUGAGCUCUGUUGGUCGUGCCUCCUGAGGACCUCUUUCCUCUACUGUAUGCUGAUGACACACCCAUCCGAUGGGAGCUGGAGCCUUGUCUGGUCCUUUCCUCUAUGACCCCACGUGUACAGUUGGAAAUCCUUCCUAAUCAUGCCUUGAUUCCCCCUUUUCGACUACACUCAAAGAUGUUUGAGCUGUUUUAUUUGCAAAAUGGAUGGACAGUUUGUUUAUAUAAAACAAUCCCAGCUUCCUUGUGCUCUAUCUGGUGUGUUUGUAUGGCUCUUCAGUGACUUUAAAGUGGAGCAUUGACCUUGGCCUCUUUGAUUCUCCAUGGUGGAAUAGAGAAGACCUCUUGAGGAUGCUUAAUGUUGCUGAGAUCUUAAGAAGGCUUGCAGACUUCCUCUUCCUCCCUCCUUCUCCCACCUCCUCCUUCCCUAAGCAGCCUCUGCAUUGUAUAAAUUCCUUUAUAUAAAUUCCUCUGUAAA